UCCGGCUGAAGAUUCGGGUCACCCAAUAUUAAGAAACGGAUCCCUUAUAUUUUUUGAACGCUUUCUUCCUUCAUUGACACAGUUCCAUCUUCUUUUCCAAAACCCUAGAGAGCCCUUCGUCUCCAUUUCCAUUCUCCAACUCCAUUCGGGUUCAAAGCAUUUCCAUUCUCCACUUCCUGGUGGAUGAUUGGGGGUUUACAUUCUACAUAGACAUUCUUUCCUCCUCAAUACUCAAAUGUUAGUACCUUUCUUCUUCAUCGGCAGCUCACACAGAUACAUAGAAGGAAGAUUAGGUUCUGAAAAGAAACACUGAUUGCGUUUACUUUCUUGCUUCACCCUUAACUUGCAAAAAGGCUCCUAGCCUUAUCAAGCAGAUUCAUUUCAAGAGGUUACAAGUUUCUUGAUAUCAACUCGAAUAAACAGCUUGGUGGCAUAGUCUUUCAGAUGUUCACAUUCAUGGUGCCUUAUAGUAGCGAUUACGACGAUGGUGUUCGUCUUAUGCAUUGCCACUUCAAGUGCAUACGACCAGGGAGCUUAAAAUGGCAUUUUUUAGUCGAGAAUGGAUACAGGCCAAAUGAGAUGUUUUGCCACCUCCGAAAGAUCUUCCAAAAAUGUUAGAGAAUAGAAUGAAGAAAUGAGUAUGAUCUGGGUAUUUAUAAUAUAUUUGUUUCUUGAGCACAUAACUGUUUUGGUCAAGUAAGUUUUCGAUAAGCAUGCACGCUCUACUAAAUUGUUCUUUUUUAACUUUAAUUUUUUUAUAGAAGGAAAAAAAAAUCAUUUUUAUGGAUUUAUCUAUCAAAGAUGACAUGUUAGUUGUUACCCAACCUCUACAACGUUUUUUUGUAACAAAUUAGUUUCCAAGUUUUUUAUCCUCAGAUGACAAAAUUCGAGUACAUUAAAAUAUGCAUGACACAAAUUUUAAACGAUGUGAUGCUUGAAAGUUUGUUGUUGAAUGAGUAGUUUAUAGAUUUAGAUUUUGAAAUUCUUCUUUCUAUCAAUUUUUGGCACUUUGCCUUUCUGUUUUUCUAACCGAAUGUUAACAUGAGGUUGACUUUUUGGCAAGUCAACGUGAAAAAGAAAAGGAACUACAUAUAAUGACUUCUAAAGACAAUUAAGUAAUUUUUGGCACUUUGCUUUUAUGUUUUUCUAAGUUUUUUAGGUAUUUACAAUGACCUAUGCAAUGUGUGUUUGUUUUUAGUUCAUUAUUCAAGAUAUAAUUCUAUGAGAUUUUUUGUAAAUUAGGUUGUUGGUAUACGAGUAUGUCAAUAAUUGAAAUUUCGAAGAAUGGAUUGACGUAGCUAUGUGCCAGCAUGGAUAUCUUACCUGGGAGGCUCGGAUUAAGGUUCUUCAUGGGAGAGCUAAGGCGUCGUAUAAUAAAGCAGCACCGUACAGGACUCGCACAUUGUUUUCAGUUGAAAGCCAAAACUACUUUGACUGGCAGACGGUGGGCCUAAUCUAUAGCUUCGGGACCCGUCAACCCUGCCCAAUUGAACUGCAGUGCACAUGAUGUACACAAGCCCUGUUGGCAAGAGGCUAGCUGAGUGACUAUCAGAUGCUGAUGCUGAUGCUGGUUUACUGAGGGAAUCUUUCGGAAGAAAACUUAUCGGAUGCAGGGAUAGAAGAGUUUAUCUUAAAGAACUUCAAUGUAAAUCUUGCAGAUUUUGGGGUUGAAGAAAUAUGUAGGCAAUAUGUGCCUACUGGUUGUUUGCUUGAGGAUCCAUCUGGGUGCGAUAAAAGAUUUAUACGAAGAGGUUCAGGUCUUCAAUCGUCCCGGAUAACCUAAUUUAGUUAUCAUGGUGUGGUUUUAUCAGUUCUUUCGAUUUCAGUUCGGUUAGUCAGUUGUUCUUGGAAUAAUGCGCAUAUUAAUAAAGAUGAUCAUGGUGUGUUAGAUAUGGCACCAAGCGCUUCCUAUAAUUUAAACCCUGUGUUGAUAUUCAAAGUGUGAAAAUGAAUGUUUGAUUUAAAUGUUCAUGCUUUCUAUCAUUCGGAUUGUUGCUUUAGGCAAUGAAGAUGCUAUAAAAAGAUGUUACAAAUGUAAAAAGGCUGGGCAUCUGGAUAAAAAUUGUUGGUGCACUUACGUCUGCUGACUACGUCUUCCAUCGAGUCUUGAAGUUGAACAGAUCAAAUAUGACACGGAAACCUAGAAUUACAUGUUUGUAUAGGGUUCGCUUAUCAGUCACUAGGUUAGGUCCGCUCAUGUGUCAUAUAGUGUCUAGGUUCGCUUAUUCGGUCAUUGUUUAGUUCGCUUAUGUGGUUUCAAGCAGGAUCGCUUAUAUGGUCGUCCAUAUAAGCGAACCAUCUAUGCUAUAUAUAGGGGGUGUGUUAUGAGCGAACUAGAUAGUCUGAAACACAUAGUUGAAGGUGUAUUUGUUCCGGUACUCUGCCGAAGUGCUGUCAAACCUUGUAAUCGUGCAUUUGAUCAAUAAUACAGCAAUAUUAAAGUGAAUACAUCUUCAAUAGCACCGAAUUAUUAGUUUCCGCCUCUUAAUUCGGAUACGAACUUCUCUGAACGACUCAAACAGGGCCGAGAACAAUCCUACAAAAAUUGACGAGAAGACGCAAAUGUAAUUGCGCAGCUUAAUGAAGCCGAGAGGAUCACAAUGGAAGAAGAUUAUAUAAAAGAGAUUGGUGAAGAUGAGAAAGAGAAAUUGAAUGAUGUGGAUUAUCUGACAGGGGUUCCUUUACCAAACGACAUUCUUUUGUAUGCGGUGCAUGUUUGUGCUCCUUAUGCUGCUGUACAAUCAUAUAAAUAUUGGGUGAAGAUAAUCCCUGGAACAACAAAGAAAGGAAAAAGAAAGCAAGCCAAUGAGAGAAAGAGUUGAUGAAGGCAUGUACAGACCUAGAGUUGAUGGCUGCGAUUAUUGGAAACGUCAAGAUAUCUGCAGCAGGACUGACAGGAAAGUGAUGUGUUUUGGUAUCACAUAUGGGUUUUGUUCGGUUCGGUUAUGGGUCGGUUUUGGCUCAAGUCGAACCAAAAUUGGUUUAUCGGUUUUAGUAAAGCGAUGUAUUUCGCUUUUCAGUUUUACGUAUGGGUCGUUUUCGGUUUUGCAACGGGUUUGAAAUGUUUAGCCUAAAAGAACUUUGACCCUAAAUGAUGAAAUUAGUCAAAACUAUUAGCCAAACCUUGUGAUAUCCAGUAGUAAAGUAAUAACUUUGUUCAUGAAACUUUUGGUCCAAAAUAAUGAAUUUGGACCACAAUAACAAACAUUUAAACAAGAAAGAUCGGUUCGGUUUAGUUUGUUUUGAUUUGAUUUUGGAAUGAGCUAUAACCGAACUGUCGAUUUUUAUGUUUGGGUUAGUUUUAAGUUUGUGAUACUUAAAGAUAGAUGCUGUUGUGGGUGGUUUUCUCACGUUUAUACUUUCCACAACAUGACCAAAAAUUUUCCUCUAAAGUUUAAAAACUAGAAA